AGCGAACGCUGGCGGCAGGCCUAACACAUGCAAGUCGAACGAACUCUUCGGAGUUAGUGGCGGACGGGUGAGUAACACGUGGGAACGUGCCUUUUGGUUCGGAAUAACUCAGGGAAACUUGUGCUAAUACCGAAUGCGCCCUUCGGGGGAAAGAUUUAUCGCCAUUAGAGCGGCCCGCGUCUGAUUAGCUAGUUGGUGAGGUAACGGCUCACCAAGGCGACGAUCAGUAGCUGGUCUGAGAGGAUGACCAGCCACACUGGGACUGAGACACGGCCCAGACUCCUACGGGAGGCAGCAGUGGGGAAUCUUGCGCAAUGGGCGAAAGCCUGACGCAGCCAUGACGCGUGAAUGAUGAAGGUCUUAGGAUUGUAAAAUUCUUUCACCGGGGACGAUAAUGACGGUACCCGGAGAAGAAGCCCCGGCUAACUUCGUG
rnacentral:rRNA from 1 species